rnacentral:lncRNA from 1 species
AGAUGUGGCUCGUGUACAGGCUCUCGUACUCCCUGUCAAAGAGAGGAGGGCACAGAGUUACACCAGCCCCUCUGACACAGGCUCAGUUAUGGUUGCAAGUAACUGACUUCGUUCACCUACUUUGUACAGAUGCCAAAGCAAUCGUUUCAUGUCCCUCAACAAGGCCAAAUGGGUCAUCAGUUGCCAGGUGGGAAGUACAGGCUCAGAUCUGCUGUGGAGAGAGUCCAUUCAAGUGGGACACCAAGCCAGCUCUGUGAGUCCACCCCGGAAAGACUGCAGGCCCCUGAGCCAGUCUGGGACACAAGUAUGCCCCGAGUGUACCCAGACACAGUGUGCCCAGAGUAUGCACACAGUGGGACUAUGAUUUGUAGAGAAUGAAAGAGGCCUAUGAAGCUGAACCUGCUCAUAAGGACUUUGGGCAGUCACAAAGCCAAAAACUUCAUCCUCACAUGUCACCCAAAGAGCUCUAUUUGUAUUUACCUCCGAAAAUCAACUUACCGAAGAUUCACUAUCACGAAUGAGGAAAUCCCCUUCAUGUCCUCUUUCAUUUAAUGCCAUUUCUGCUUGAUGCCUGGUGACUUUGCCAUAAUACCAAGGAUUGCCAGCAAACUUUCCAGUGAGUGAAGGCCUAAUGUAAUCACACUGUGGAGGUGAUGGUUCCAAACCUGAAGUUAAUGGAUUAUUCUGCAUAACGGUAACAUAGUUUUUUGGUACUAGACCAACCAUACCAUUGAUCUUCCUGCAUUUCCACCACUCUGGGUCAUUUUCAGGUUUUUCAAUAACAUCCAUUACAUCUCCUUUCUCGAAA